GACUCCUACGGAGGCAGCAGCUAAGAAUCUUGCGCAAUGGGCGAAAGCCUGACGCAGCAAUUCCGCGUGGAGGACGAAGGCCCUCGGGUCGUAAACUCCUUUUGCGAGGGAAGAAGUUCUGACGGUACCUCGCGAAUAAGCCACGGCUAACUACGUGCCAGCAGCCGCGGUAAUACGUAGGUGGCGAGCGUUGUCCGGAUUUAUUGGGCGUAAAGAGCCCGCAGGCGGCUUGGCAAGUUUCGAGUGAAAUCUCCCGGCUCAACUGGGAGGGCGCUCGGAAAACUGCCAGGCUUGAGGCAGGGAGAGGGUGGAAUUCCACGUGUAGCAGUGAAAUGCGUAGAGAUGUGGAGGAACACCGAUGGCGAAGGCAGCCCCCUGGGCCAAUACUGACGCUCAUGCACGAAAGCGUGGGGAGCAAACAGGAUUAGAUACCCUGGUAGUCCACGCCCUAAACGAUGUCAACUAGGUGUUGGGUGGGUUAAACCAUUUAGUACCGUAGCUAACGCGUGAAGUUGACCGCCUGGGGAGUACGGCCGC
rnacentral:rRNA from 1 species